UUUGUUUAUUAACCAAACAAUCCUAGGAAGGAAAGGUCGGCCGGCAAUUACACUCAACAGAUAUUUGACCUAUGGUCGACAUGGAAAAAGGGCGGUGAACCGACAAGCACCGCAGUUCAGCACUUUUCUGCAAACAGAAAGAAGCUAUUUUGUCUGAGAUGGACUUACCAAUAAGGGUAAAAUUACUAAGUGCUGAUCUUCACAAAGAAGGAACGAAAUUGAGUAGUGAUACUAAUAUUACUAAAUAAUGGCAAUCAAGAAUGACGGUUCUAUAGCAUAAUGAAUACAGCACAUCUUUACGAACUUAUUUAGAUUUCUGCAUCAAUUUUGUGCAAUCUUAGCAACUAAAGAAAUACAUGUUCUACAGUGCCUCGCUUUAAAAUAGCAAAAGUACAAUUAAACAAAACUGUAUUCAAGAUUAACAAAAAAAAACAGUUUUCCAAUGUUAAUAGACUUCAAUCUUGAGUUGCAGCACCUUGGUUCAGCUCAGCAAACCUCAUGCCAACACGCAUAGAGUGCUUCAGAAAUUUCUCUGCACAUCUUCGAACACAGGUUUCUUCUUGCUUUUGCAGGGAUUUAUGCUUAAACGUAUCCACACAAUCAUGAAAGCAUCUCUCCACCAGGUUAUUAUACAUUCUCAGGCUGCAAUGCAAUUUAAAUCAUAAUCAGAUAACCGUGUCUGGCAAUAUGUCAACUAAGCAAGCAAUCAUUAUAAUUGAGCAGCGCCAAAAAUACAAGAACCCCUUAAUGUAGUGAAGCAAUAACCAAUCACCCUAACAGUCAUAUGUAAAAUAAACAGCCAAAAUGAAGAGUUACAGAGGGAUAUUAAUUUAUUAGAACUUAUAACGGACUAGUGUGUGUUUGGAUUUCAUUUUGUAAGAGCUAAAACUUGAGUCACAUUUAAAAACUGAAAUUCUACCAUACCACUAAUCCAUCAUGAGACCCACAUUGAGUAGAUAAAAAAGCUCAAUAAAGUACUUUACUUAGGGUCUUUUGCGAUUGAAUAAUUUGAGCUUAUCUAUUGGCAGAAACACCCGUGAGACAGUUUGGGAGAACUAAGGAUAACACCUUAUGACAUGUUGAUAAUUUGUAUUCAUCUUAUUUCCAUAAGUUGUCCAGGAUAACGAAAAUAGAUGAAAACAGUUUGACAUUAUUUUAUCUUUUGUUAUAGAAAUAACUUAAACAUUAGCAUUUAUGCUAUAAACUGAUAAUGAAGUUGUUUAUCCAAACAAGGUCUUUAAGACAUGAGGUUCUUAGACUUGAUGAAAUAGUCUUUUGUAUUGGACUCUCCUUGUGGGCUUAAGUCAUAACAGUUUGUGCUUUCAUUGAGUGUUAGGCUACAGAAAGGAAUAGAAUAAGGUACGCAACUGAAUAGUGAAUACUGACAAAUGAGUGAACCUGCCAAAGGGGAAAGGAAUACCACCAGCAGGUGAAAGCCGUAGUAUAGGUUGGCUCUUAAAGUCUUAAAGGAUCAUAAGUCUCACUUUGAGUAGAUAAGACAAAUUAAUGUCCUAAUUAAGCCUCCAUCUAGUGAACUAGUGAGUAUCAAAACAAGUAAUUCAAACACAGCAACAAAUUACAGAGAAAUAAACCACUUGUUGAAAAUGUAGUUCCCAAAACGUCCAGAAGAAACAUUCAAAAGUUGCACUGGUUUUAAGGAGAACAUCAAUAUGGCUUCACAGAACAAGCAAGCACAUAAUUUGCCACUAUUAAGGAGGACAUCAAAAUGUGCUGCCAACGACUUAUAUACCAUGAAGCCUCAAAUUUUAAAAAAGAUUCAACCUGUAAUGCUAAUACAAACCAAUAAAAGAAAGAAAGAAAAAAGUAACCCCUAAAAUUUGCACGGUGGAAAACAAAUAAAUGUACGAACUUCGAGGCGUAAAUCUGGGGAAGAAAAUAGAGCUCAAUGUAGUACUUAACUCGUGUGUUAUGAGAUCCAAAUUGAGUAAAUAAUAAAGCUCAAUGUGGUACUUAAGUCGUGAGGCUCUUCCACCUAACGAACAAGUCUCUAGGGUUAGACUCUCCAUAUUGGCUGGUUACUGCGAUUGAUUGGGGAGAGAGUGCUAGUCUAACUGCCGGUACGGGUAUGCUAAUAGAUAGAGGAUCCGCCAGUCCUAGAAUCGGAAAGUAGCUUGUCUGCCGGACUGGCUGCUUCAUUGAAUGUGUCGAUCUUAUUCUAUAUAAGGAGUUGAUUUGCAUAAGGAGUUGAUUUGCAUCCUUGUCCGGCAGUUAGCUAAGCGUUGGCUUAAGUCAUAACUUAUAACAAUUAGUGUUUUCAUUGAGUUGGACUACAGAAAGUUCUACCUAUAGACUGAAUUAAGGUACACAGCCAAAUAGUGAUAGACGAAUGAAGCCACCAAAGGGGAAAGGGAUAACACCGGGUGAGAGGCGUUGUAGAUGCCUGUUCUUGAAGAGUUGACAACUUUAUGAAUUCCACAUUGAAUAGAUCAUUAAACGGAUAAGAAAAAUUAAAGUGGUAAUUAAACCAUGAGGCUCUCCCGAUUUAACGAACUAGUCUCUGGGCUAAACUUAGUUCAUGAGCUCAAGCCACCAUAAAAAUCUUGAGAGACCGAACCGAAUGACGGCACACAACUAAAAACUAGCCUAUUAUCCAAAAAAAAAAAAAUGACAGCUACAAGUGUUUAGAGAAAAAACAAGUAAUUCACACAACAACAGAUUACAUAGAAAUACACAACUUGUUAAAACUGUAGUUCCCAAAACGUCCAUAAGCAACACUGAAAAGUCACACUGGUUUUAAGGAGAACAUAACUAUGGCUUCACAUAACAAGCAAGCACAAAAUUAGCAACUACUGUGCUGCCCAUAACUUAUAAAUUAGCAUGAAGCCCUCAAUUCGAAAACAGAUUCAAAAAUUUGCAAGGUGGAAAAUAAAUAAAUUUACUAACUUUGAGACAUAGUGUAACUUAAGCAACAGAAAGAUUAUUCUUUUUUAAUUACCACGUUUAAAUCCUAAUUUAUUAGACUUUAUUGGUAACAGUCUAGAGUGUGUUUGGAUUUCAUUUUGUAAUAUCUAUAACUUUUGAGUCACCUUUUUGAAUUGAAACCCAAACACACCACUAAUAUUUUAUGAGACCAACAUCGAGUAGACAAGAAAACUCAAUGCGGUACUUAAGGCAUAAGGCUCGUAUUUGGUUUCUCCUGGUGAGCUUAAGGGUGUUUUCUGGAGGAGGUUUUUGAAGGGUUCUGGAUGGCUAAGCCUAUAUCUUGAAAUAUAUGAUAUUUUCCAAAAAAUAAAAAUAACACGAUAAAUGAUCAUAUAGUACUUCAAUAACACUUUAUUUAAUUUUCAAAAACAUUUUAUAGUGUCCGUAAUUUAACAAUGAAAAGUAAGUCCUCUCCUCCAAAACCCUCCAUCCAUACAUACCCUAAGUCAUAACAAUUGAAGUUAUCAUUGUGAGUUAGGAUACAGAAAGGGCUGCCUGUAGGCUGGAUGAAGCGCUGUCUAUAGGCUGGAUGAAGCUACACCACCGAAUACUGAUCGAUGAAAGAAGCCACCAACGGGAAAGGGAUAACGCCGGGGAAAGCCGUUAUAGACAUCGGCUCUAAUAGAGGUGGCAAUGUUAUGAGUUCCACAUUAAAUCUUCCAUGAUAUAGACAAGAAAAAUCAAUGUAGUAAUUAAGAAUCUCCCAUCUAACGAACUAGUUUAUGGGCUAGACUCGGCUCAUGAACUUAUGUCAUAACAAUAUUCCAUUAACUAGUCGAUGCAGUAAUUAAGAAUCUCCCAUCUAACGAACUAGUUUAUGGGCUAGACUCGGCUCAUGAACUUUAAGUCAUAACAAUCUUCCAUUAAACAGAUCCCAAAGGUACUAAAAGACAGCAUGAACAGCUACAAGUAACCUAUUCUCCAAAAAACAUGACAGCUACAAGUAAUUCACACAACAACAAUUACAGACAAAUAAACUUGUUAAAAAAUGUAGUUCCCAAAACGUCCAGAAGCAACAUUCAAUAGUCACACUGGUUUUAAGGAGAACAUCACUCUGCUUCACAGAAAAAGCAAACAAAAAAAUUGCAACUAUUGUGCUGCUAAUUAUUUACAAAUUACCAUGAAGCCCCAAAUUCCAAAAUAAACUCAACACAUUAUGCUAAUACAAACCAACAGGGAAAAAAAAACUAAUUUUUUUUGGUAAACAAAAAACCCUAAGCUUUACAAUGUGGAAAUCAAAUAAAUGUACCUCCUUUGAGGGGGGUAACAUAAGUAAUAGAAAAAUUAAUUAUUUUUAAUUAAAACAAAAAAAAAAAAUCAAUGAUUUUGGGAACCUCACCUGUCACGGAUUUGGAGCUGAUCGAUCAUGGUAGCCAUUCUUUGUUUAUCUGCCUCUGGAAGAUUUUCCAUAUCAGCAAUCAUGCUUUUGUCCAUUUUGAAUCGAACGAUUAAACGCAGUGAUUUAGGGGUUUGAGA
rnacentral:lncRNA from 1 species